AGAUGAAAACCGGGCGGGAUGGCAGCCCACGGGCCAGGGAUGCGGGAGCCGCCGGGAAGACCCGCGCGCCGCUCGACUCGGAGGGACUCACACCUUCCCCCGACAAAGAGGCGGCCCCACUGUCGACCAAGUGCCCAAGGCAUUGUGGGAGUCAUGAUUCCAAGAUGCCCGCGACGGAAAAUGGAACUUGUCAGCUCCUUGUCAUGGGAGCAUUGUGGGCGCCACAACUCAUUCAGCUGCAGUGAAAAGACUGUUGCAUGUCGCUGUGCAGCCUCUUAUCGCCGAGGUCUGGCUUCCGCUGCUGCUGCGCGGCCCCUCCCCCGCCCGCCCAGCCCCACCAGGAAGCCCAGGGCGGACUCGUCGAGCUCCUAAUGCACGCGGCGGCGAGAAAAACGCUCUUCAACUUUCCGCCGGCGCCCUCCCGCGCUUCCCCGGGCCACAGGGUCGCCUGUCAACCGGACAGAGCCCGCAAGAGCGGGUCAUGGGCGGUCGCCCCGCGGCGCCGAGAGCAGGAGGAAGCCGGAGCCCGCGCGGGCGCCGUGGAUCCCCUCGGCCUCCCGUUGGUAUCUUCCAUCUCAUGCGUUCAGCAUUGUAACCUCGCGGCGGGCGUGCAGACCGGACGCCCUCCCGCUUCUUCUACCGACUGCUGGGCACACCAGUGGGUUCAUUUUGAAAGAGGCCCUUGCACCGGGCUUUGCAAGGAAGCCGGCAAGGUUAGAUUGAAGGUUAGAAGCCAAUUAGACUAGAAUCCUGCGAUCUGGUGAGACUGCCGCCUUAAAAUGCACCAAACAGUUUUUGAACCUGGAGGGCUAACAGGCGGGAAAAACAUCUGCAAGACUGCCACCGUGUAUUUUUCUCAAGUAACAGGCUAUCCACAGUUUUGGAAUUCGUUAGUGAAACUGUCACACAAGCACAAACACUCACAUGUCAGCUUUCCUUCUAGUUUGUAAAUAAUAUUUGUAAUUUACAGGCCACUGUAUUCCCAACUUUGCACCAUGUGA
rnacentral:antisense_RNA from 1 species